UACGGAGGGUGCAAGCGUUAUCCGGAUUCACUGGGUUUAAAGGGUGCGUAGGUGGGUUGGUAAGUCAGUGGUGAAAUCUCCGAGCUUAACCCGGAAACUGCCAUUGAUACUAUCUGUCUUGAAUAUCGUGGAGGUAAGCGGAAUAUGUCAUGUAGCGGUGAAAUGCUUAGAUAUGACAUAGAACACCAAUUGCGAAGGCAGCUUACUACCCGAAUAUUGACACUGAGGCACGAAAGCGUGGGGAUCAAACAGG
rnacentral:rRNA from 1 species